rnacentral:rRNA from 1 species
GUCGUACGCUUCUUUUUCCCCGGAGCUUGCUCCACCGGAAAAAGAAGAGUGGCGAACGGGUGAGUAACACGUGGGUAACCUGCCCAUCAGAAGGGGAUAACACUUGGAAACAGGUGCUAAUACCGUAUAACAAUCGAAACCGCAUGGUUUUGAUUUGAAAGGCGCUUUCGGGUGUCGCUGAUGGAUGGACCCGCGGUGCAUUAGCUAGUUGGUGAGGUAACGGCUCACCAAGGCCACGAUGCAUAGCCGACCUGAGAGGGUGAUCGGCCACAUUGGGACUGAGACACGGCCCAAACUCCUACGGGAGGCAGCAGUAGGGAAUCUUCGGCAAUGGACGAAAGUCUGACCGAGCAACGCCGCGUGAGUGAAGAAGGUUUUCGGAUCGUAAAACUCUGUUGUUAGAGAAGAACAAGGAUGAGAGUAACUGUUCAUCCCUUGACGGUAUCUAACCAGAAAGCCACGGCUAACUACGUGCCAGCAGCCGCGGUAAUACGUAGGUGGCAAGCGUUGUCCGGAUUUAUUGGGCGUAAAGCGAGCGCAGGCGGUUUCUUAAGUCUGAUGUGAAAGCCCCCGGCUCAACCGGGGAGGGUCAUUGGAAACUGGGAGACUUGAGUGCAGAAGAGGAGAGUGGAAUUCCAUGUGUAGCGGUGAAAUGCGUAGAUAUAUGGAGGAACACCAGUGGCGAAGGCGGCUCUCUGGUCUGUAACUGACGCUGAGGCUCGAAAGCGUGGGGAGCAAACAGGAUUAGAUACCCUGGUAGUCCACGCCGUAAACGAUGAGUGCUAAGUGUUGGAGGGUUUCCGCCCUUCAGUGCUGCAGCUAACGCAUUAAGCACUCCGCCUGGGGAGUACGACCGCAAGGUUGAAACUCAAAGGAAUUGACGGGGGCCCGCACAAGCGGUGGAGCAUGUGGUUUAAUUCGAAGCAACGCGAAGAACCUUACCAGGUCUUGACAUCCUUUGACCACUCUAGAGAUAGAGCUUCCCCUUCGGGGGCAAAGUGACAGGUGGUGCAUGGUUGUCGUCAGCUCGUGUCGUGAGAUGUUGGGUUAAGUCCCGCAACGAGCGCAACCCUUAUUGUUAGUUGCCAUCAUUUAGUUGGGCACUCUAGCAAGACUGCCGGUGACAAACCGGAGGAAGGUGGGGAUGACGUCAAAUCAUCAUGCCCCUUAUGACCUGGGCUACACACGUGCUACAAUGGGAAGUACAACGAGUCGCGAAGUCGCGAGGCUAAGCUAAUCUCUUAAAGCUUCUCUCAGUUCGGAUUGUAGGCUGCAACUCGCCUACAUGAAGCCGGAAUCGCUAGUAAUCGCGGAUCAGCACGCCGCGGUGAAUACGUUCCCGGGCCUUGUACACACCGCCCGUCACACCACGAGAGUUUGUAACACCCGAAGUCGGUGAGGUAACCUU